AUUGAACGCUGGCGGCAUGCCUUACACAUGCAAGUCGAACGGUAACGCGGGGCAACCUGGCGACGAGUGGCGAACGGGUGAGUAAUGCAUCGGAACGUGCCCAGUAGUGGGGGAUAGCCCGGCGAAAGCCGGAUUAAUACCGCAUACGACCUACGGGUGAAAGGGGGGGAUCGCAAGACCUCUCGCUAUUGGAGCGGCCGAUGUCAGAUUAGGUAGUUGGUGGGGUAAAAGCCUACCAAGCCGACGAUCUGUAGCUGGUCUGAGAGGACGACCAGCCACACUGGGACUGGGACACGGCCCAGACUCAUACGGGAGGCAGCAGUGGGGAAUUUUGGACAAUGGGGGAAACCCUGAUCCAGCCAUGCCGCGUGCGGGAAGAAGGCCUUCGGGUUGUAAACCGCUUUUGUCAGGGAAGAAACGCUCUGGGCUAAUACCUUGGAGUAAUGACGGUACCUGAAGAAUAAGCACCGGCUAACUACGUGCCAGCCGCCGCAGUAA
rnacentral:rRNA from 1 species